ACUCACCAUGUGGUCAAUAGUUGAAUGUGCAGUCUUCUAAGUCAGAACUAAGUGCGAUCUCCGCAGAAUUAGAUUUUAGCGCAUUCAGUCCGUACUCUGAACACAGCGUGCCUUGAUAGCAGAUGGCGGAGGACAGGAAUUGAAGCAGGGGACAGAGAGAGACGCUAAGCCUUUACUGGUCGGGGAAGGAGCAUUGCAUUCGUUACCGUUCAUUAAUACCCGAAUAACGGGCCAUAUACGGAUGUUAAUAUAGUGUAGCAAAGGGCUUUAAUAGAGGUAUAAAACUAAUGUAGUGUGGCUCAUAAUUUGGCGUAAAUGAACACAAAAGGACUCAUAAAACCUGUUAAAUGUGCAUAUGAAACAGAAAGAGAUUUCACAAGUUUGGAAUGUCCGGUCUGCUUACUAUAUCAACAUAUGUGCAUAAAGGGGACAUGUAAAAUUACGUAAUUUAAAUAUUCAGAACUUAUUAUUGAAAGUAAUCGUUCUUCUCCGUGAAUCUUAUCGGUUGCGUAGUACCUGCCCAUAUGACAAAAGAUUUUAGCAGAGUGCUAAUAUUCUAGGAUUACUUUAAAAGCUGAAAUUUAAAAAGAUGGGUUGGGGGUUCAAUAUACACACUAGGCCUGCUUAAUGACAAACUUUGUUGCUUAUACACUUUUCCUGGCAACUUAUUGUUGGGGCAGAUAAAUUGUGUUGAAGGAAAUUAUAAUGUAUGAAGUUACAUAGGAUAAUUUAGUGCGAAUACUGUCAUUGUUUCCUAAAGCUACCUCCAUUGAGCACAGUCCUACCUGAGAACCUAGUAGUACAUUCAUUUUAUUAAACCAGAACGUCCAUUAACGUAUUCACAAGACCCCUUGUAGAUUCUAUCCUGAGGUAGAUUAAUUAGUCAUAUUUUCCGAAGAACGAUUUUAAUAUUAUCCUCCCAUCUACACUAAAGUCUUCCUAGUCCGGUGAAAUCAGAAAUCUGUAAACCAUAAAAUAUUUUAUGAAGACGCUGGUCAGCAGUAGAGAUAUUAUACCAAAUGUAAAUAUUUUUUGCGUACAAGAGUAGCAUCCUUAAGGUCCGUGCUUAAGAACAUCGGCCACAACUCAGUACUCGUUCGUGGGUGGCAGGGUUUUUGGUUAUCGAGACAGCUUUGCUUUCUGUUAGUGGUUUCUGGAGAGUAACAUGAUCUGUCCAUCUUCACCUUCUCUGAAAAGUCACUUAUUAGAAAGUAGGCGGAGCAAAUUGGCGAAAAGAAACAAGCCAAAACUCUAUAUAGAGAGGUCAUUUUCAUCCCUCUGAAGUAAUUUAUGAUUCCAGUAUUUAAAACUCUUUGGUGUAAGUAAAUAAAAAUGGUUCCAAAAAUACUUGUCAGAAGUGGGAUUCGAACCCACGCCCACAGAAGUGGACUGCGACCUGAACGCAGCGCCUUAGACCGCUCGGCCAUCCUGACAUGAACAUAGGUUCUGCCGUACGGCAUUAAAACGGAGUAGUUGCUGGCAGUUUGCCCAUAUCAGGAAGUCAUACUUUUAAUUGUAAUUAAUGCAAUAAAAUAAAUAUGCCGAUUUGUCGACUACUAACAAUGCAAGAAUAUGUUUUUGUACUUUCUUUGCUUUAUAUACAAAUUCCUGUCGAUUUUGGGCGUAAAUUCAGUUAAUAAACAUACAUACAAUUGAACAUGGUUGUCUUCUGGGUUGUAAUGCCGUGUAGUCUGGUAGAAGUUUACCAACGUUUCACAAGGUCCUUGCUGCCACCAUCAUCAGGGCGAUUUUCUUUCACGCGUGGCGUAUCUGAUUUUUUUUGUUUUUCCGAAAUAUGGAGUCAAAAAAAAGUGAAUGCCCUUAUAAUGCAAGCCAAAUUGAGGCAGAUUUAUUUUCGAGCUGUUUGCUGUGAAAGCUUCGUACAGCAAUUGGCUUGUCUUCCUGUGUCUGGCAUCACAACCCGGUAGUCCACUAUCGUCAUCUGUGCCGCCAUAAGAAGAUCAAAUCUCAUCUUUACUGGCUAACCGUUUAUAACAGUUCAUACAUAUUGUUAGAUUUUAAGUGCAAUCUGUUGUUAAUAAAACGUCAUUAAAUAAGGUAGCAAUAGAUCUGUGGCAAAUUUAUAGUGUAAAUCAAAUUUCCUGAAUAGUUUUUAGUCAUCCAAAGUUUGUGAGACCAAAUAAUCAAGCAUACAUAAGGCCUGCUACAAUGAAACAUUUUCAAGACAAACUUUGAUGAAGUGAUGAAUUUGAGUGUUAGUUUCAAAUAAAUGUAGUACUUGCAGGGUAAGAAAGUGCCCCGAUCUUGUUUUCAAUUACACCAUCUCCCCUUCAAUUUGCCGCUUCGCUUAACCCAAGAAAUCACAAGGCAUAAAUCAAAUCAGCUGUCUAUUCUAAUUGAAUUUUACUUUGCGAAAUGCGGCCGAAAAAUUACCAACACCAUGUGUGUAAAUACAGUAGGUCAUUGGAUUAAAACUUAUCAGGUAAUUUCGUGAUAGCGAUAACUUGAUUAAUUUUUAAUUAACCAUGUUAAACUCUCUGCCGAUGCAAUUAUGAUGUACGCACACGGGUACUGCCCGAUGCCCCUAAAAAUUAAAAUUAGAUUGGAGUAGUCCGAAACAGAAAAUACCGACAAGGAAAACCACAAGUUCGAUUACAUCGGCUGUACUCCCAACAGCGCUUCGUGAAGUGAUAAAGGUGUACACAUAAGACCCGAUAUUCUCAACCAAAUUUUAAGCCUUUUUCUUUAUAACAUUAAUAGCAGACAUCAGAGUAAUUUUACAUUUGAAUUCAGUCUGCAAUUAAUAAUUUCGCCUGAAUUAUGAAUGUGGUUUAUCGAACGACCACAUAGCAACGAUUAUUUCUAAUAAACGAAUGAACAGGAGGGGAUGUAGAAGGAAGUGACCAUGUUCUAAUUUAAGGUUAUAUCCCAGAAUUUGCCUGAAGGGACUGAGGAAAAUCAUAAAAAAUCUCAUAAUACCCGGUCAGCAUGACAAUAUUUGAAUGCAUAGCAGAAGUAUAGACCAAGUUUUUUGUCAAUUCCUUAUUCCCCUAUCCUUAAAUUUCCUUUGAAUUUCAUUAUAUAACAUCAAAAAGUGUUUAAAAUAACAUUUUUUUAUUAUAUACAAAUUCUGUGUACAUUACGUUGUUUCAGAGAACAUCAACAUUUGUAUUAGCUUUGAGUGAACAAGUUUACUUGAUGUAUAAAGUGAAGCAUAAAUUUUAACACCUCCAUUUCUGGAUGAUUGGUUAGGUUAUGUUUGUUACUCAGAAGAAAGCUUUAACCUUGGCAGUGCAGAGCCAUGCAGAAAUCUGAUAGCAGUAAGUUCAUUGCUAGAAACCAAAAGAUAUUUCAGCAGAGAAAACAUUAUGCACAUAUAUUUUUAUAUUUUCACAAGGUUCAUGUGUCCCUCCACAAUGAAUGUCAAACACUGAAGCGCAAAGCUUUUCUCCUGAGUAACAGCAACACAGUAAUAAGGAAAAUGUCAAUUAAAAUGUUUCUUACUUA